GACGAACGCUGGCGGCGUGCCUAAUACAUGCAAGUAGAACGCAGUUGCGAACGGGUGAGUAACGCGUAGGUAACUGCCUCAUAGCGGGGGAUAACUAUUGGAAACGAUAUCUAAUACCGCAUACUGUGAGAUGGACCUGCGUUGUAUUAGCUAAUUGGUGAGGUAAAGGCUCACCAAGGCGACGAUACAUAGCCGACCUUAGAGGGUGAUAGGCCACAACGGGACUGGUGCAAGGGCCAGGCCUCUACGGGAGGGAGCAGUAGGGAAGCUUCGGAAAAGGAGGGAAGGCUGACCGAGCAAAGCCGCGGGAGUGAAGAAGGUUUUCGGGUCGUAAAGCUCUGUUGUUAGAGAAGCGGUAACUAAACAGAAAGGGACGGCUAACUACGUGCCAGCAGCCGCGGUAAUUC
rnacentral:rRNA from 1 species